rnacentral:rRNA from 1 species
CAGCCGCCGCGGUAAAACGGAGGGUGCAAGCGUUAAUCGGAAUUACUGGGCGUAAAGCGCACGCAGGCGGUCUGUCAAGUCGGAUGUGAAAUCCCCGGGCUCAACCUGGGAACUGCAUUCGAAACUGGCAGGCUAGAGUCUUGUAGAGGGGGGUAGAAUUCCAGGUGUAGCGGUGAAAUGCGUAGAGAUCUGGAGGAAUACCGGUGGCGAAGGCGGCCCACUGGACAAAGACUGACGCUCAGGUGCGAAAGCGUGGGGAGCAAACAGGAUUAGAUACCCCUGUAGUCCCUGUCUCUUAUAC